rnacentral:rRNA from 2 species
UACGGAGGGGGCUAGCGUUGUUCGGAAUUACUGGGCGUAAAGCGCGCGUAGGCGGCUUUGUAAGUCAGAGGUGAAAUCCCGGGGCUCAACUCCGGAACUGCCUUUGAAACUGCAUCGCUUGAAUCCGGGAGAGGUGAGUGGAAUUCCGAGUGUAGAGGUGAAAUUCGUAGAUAUUCGGAAGAACACCAGUGGCGAAGGCGGCUCACUGGACCGGCAUUGACGCUGAGGUGCGAAAGCGUGGGGAGCAAACAGG